rnacentral:rRNA from 1 species
AUUGAACGCUGGCGGCAGGCUUAACACAUGCAAGUCGAGCGAGCGGCGGACGGGUGAGUAAUGUCUGGGAAACUGCCUGAUGGAGGGGGAUAACUACUGGAAACGGUAGCUAAUACCGCAUACCAUCAGAUGUGCCCAGAUGGGAUGAGCUAGUAGGUGGGGUAAUGGCUCACCUAGGCGACGAUCCCUAGCUGGUCUAAGAGGAUGACCAGCUACGGUGGUGCGAGGACACGGUCCAGACUGCGACGGGAGGCAGCGUUGGAAAAUAUAGCACAAUGGGCACUAUGCUAAUGCGGGCAAGGCGGGUGUGGAGGGAGGGCCUUCGGGUUGUGGAGCACUUUCAGCGAUGAGGCGUUACUCGCAGAAGAAGCACCGGCUAACUCCGUGCCAGCAGCCGCGGUAAUUC